UACACAGCUUGAGGUAUCAAAAUUCAACAAUGGACUGUGCCGCGGACAUUGAAAGAACUUGCAAGCCAAGCAGAGAUAAUCUUAAAACGUAGAUACGGAAAAUCUCACUAAUUCCUGAAAGAACGUAUCGAAAUAACUUAAUCUCCGAAAAGGACAUCAGUCGUUCUAGUUUCUGUGGCAAUAUUCUGCCUACAGAAAAAAGGCACAAAAAGUGAAUACAUCUGAGUUUACAGGGUUUGGGAAGAAGGAUGUUAUCCUCCCUGUGCCGAAAACUAAACUCUGGACUGCCCCAGCUUUCGUUCAAACAAAUGCUUGAGGAGGAAUACUUGUAAAAAACUAACACAAAUAAGAGCUGAAGACUCGAAAAGAGCUUUGUACAUGGCUCUCUUGCUCAUUCCUUCAUUCACUAUUGCUUGACGGUCUGUCUGGGCCUCUAACCAGUGCUGCUCAAACUGAAUGUUGUACAAAGCUUCCUCUAGCUUACCGAUGUGCUCAAACAA
rnacentral:misc_RNA from 1 species